GAUGAACGCUGGCGGCGUGCCUAACACAUGCAAGUCGAGCGGUAGAUACUGGAAUGAGAUUUCGGUCAAGUGAAAGUAUUGAGAGCGGCGGACGGGAGAGUAACGCGUAGGCAACCUGCCCCAGACAGAGGGAUAGCCUCGGGAAACCGGGAUUAAAACCUCAUAACGCCAAGAGUUCACAUGGACACUUGGACAAAGAUUUAUCGGUAUGGGAUGGGCCUGCGUCUGAUUAGCUAGUUGGUGGGGUAACGGCCUACCAAGGCAACGAUCAGUAGCCGACCUGAGAGGGUAAUCGGCCACAUUGGAACUGAGACACGGUCCAAACCCCUACGGGAGGCAGCAGUGGGGAAUAUUGCACAAUGGGCGAAAGCCUGAUGCAGCAACGCCGCGGGAGCGAUGAAGGCCUUUGGGUCGUAAAGCUCUGUCCUUGGGGGAGAAAAAAAUGACGGUACCCUUGGAGGAAGCCCCGGCUAACUACGUGCCAGCCGCCGCAGUAAAAC
rnacentral:rRNA from 1 species